rnacentral:rRNA from 1 species
CGGAGCUUGCUCCACCGGAAAAAGAAGAGUGGCGAACGGGUGAGUAACACGUGGGUAACCUGCCCAUCAGAAGGGGAUAACACUUGGAAACAGGUGCUAAUACCGUAUAACAAUCGAAACCGCAUGGUUUUGAUUUGAAAGGCGCUUUCGGGUGUCGCUGAUGGAUGGACCCGCGGUGCAUUAGCUAGUUGGUGAGGUAACGGCUCACCAAGGCCACGAUGCAUAGCCGACCUGAGAGGGUGAUCGGCCACAUUGGGACUGAGACACGGCCCAAACUCCUACGGGAGGCAGCAGUAGGGAAUCUUCGGCAAUGGACGAAAGUCUGACCGAGCAACGCCGCGUGAGUGAAGAAGGUUUUCGGAUCGUAAAACUCUGUUGUUAGAGAAGAACAAGGAUGAGAGUAACUGUUCAUCCCUUGACGGUAUCUAACCAGAAAGCCACGGCUAACUACGUGCCAGCAGCCGCGGUAAUACGUAGGUGGCAAGCGUUGUCCGGAUUUAUUGGGCGUAAAGCGAGCGCAGGCGGUUUCUUAAGUCUGAUGUGAAAGCCCCCGGCUCAACCGGGGAGGGUCAUUGGAAACUGGGAGACUUGAGUGCAGAAGAGGAGAGUGGAAUUCCAUGUGUAGCGGUGAAAUGCGUAGAUAUAUGGAGGAACACCAGUGGCGAAGGCGGCUCUCUGGUCUGUAACUGACGCUGAGGCUCGAAAGCGUGGGGAGCAAACAGGAUUAGAUACCCUGGUAGUCCACGCCGUAAACGAUGAGUGCUAAGUGUUGGAGGGUUUCCGCCCUUCAGUGCUGCAGCUAACGCAUUAAGCACUCCGCCUGGGGAGUACGACCGCAAGGUUGAAACUCAAAGGAAUUGACGGGGGGCCCGCACAAGCGGUGGAGCAUGUGGUUUAAUUCGAAGCAACGCGAAGAACCUUACCAGGUCUUGACAUCCUUUGACCACUCUAGAGAUAGAGCUUCCCCUUCGGGGGCAAAGUGACAGGUGGUGCAUGGUUGUCGUCAGCUCGUGUCGUGAGAUGUUGGGUUAAGUCCCGCAACGAGCGCAACCCUUAUUGUUAGUUGCCAUCAUUCAGUUGGGCACUCUAGCAAGACUGCCGGUGACAAACCGGAGGAAGGUGGGGAUGACGUCAAAUCAUCAUGCCCCUUAUGACCUGGGCUACACACGUGCUACAAUGGGAAGUACAACGAGUCGCGAAGUCGCGAGGCUAAGCUAAUCUCUUAAAGCUUCUCUCAGUUCGGAUUGUAGGCUGCAACUCGCCUACAUGAAGCCGGAAUCGCUAGUAAUCGCGGAUCAGCACGCCGCGGUGAAUACGUUCCCGGGCCUUGUACACACCGCCCGUCACACCACGAGAGUUUGUAACACCCGAAGUCGGUGAGGU